rnacentral:rRNA from 1 species
CACGUAGGGCGCAAGCGUUGUCCGGAAUUAUUGGGCGUAAAGAGCUCGUAGGCGGUUUGUUACGUCCGCUGUGAAAUCCUAGGGCUUAACCCUGGGCUUGCAGUGGAUACGGGCAGACUAGAGGUAGGUAGGGGAGAAUGGAAUUCCUGGUGUAGCGGUGAAAUGCGCAGAUAUCAGGAGGAACACCGGUGGCGAAGGCGGUUCUCUGGGCCUUAACUGACACUGAGGAGCGAAAGCGUGGGGAGCGAACAGG